AUAACGGACCGUCGGUCUACCGAGCAAUAUCACCCGCUCGGUGGAAGAUCUUCCCUUCGUCGG
rnacentral:pre_miRNA from 1 species